CGUGGAUUGAUUUGUCUGGUUAAUUCCGAUAACGAACGAGAUUGGAGCUUAAUUAAAUAGAAAGAUCAUUUUUUCCUUCUUUUCUGUAAAAGGAAUUGAAGCGUGAUUCUUUUCUUCUUAAUAGGAUUUGCGGCGUUCCAGUCGUAAGAAACCCAGCAAUAACAGGUCUGUGAUGCCCUAAGAUGUCUGGGGCUGCACGCGCGCUACAAUGAAAAUUGCAGCGCGUGUGACCAUAACCGAAAGGUUUUGGUAAACGAGUCAAAUUAUUCCGUAUUUGGGAUCGAAUAUUGUAAUUAUUAUUCGUGAACGAGGAACUUCAAGUAAGUGUAAGUCAUCAGCUUACGCUGAAUACGUCCCUGCCCUUUGUAC
rnacentral:rRNA from 1 species